GUAGAGUAUCCCAGAGAGAAGUGAUCUGUGCAGUGGUGAGCCGUCUUUGUUCCAGAAGGUGCAAAUAAUUUGAUUCCCAUAAAAAAUGCACUUAAAAUAGUUGAAAGGAUAAGAGCACAUGAGAUAUUUGCAGCAGAGAGGGUGAUCCAACUGGGGCUGCUACAAAGAAUAUUCCUUAUUGCCAGGCAUUAUGCAGGAGAAGAAUUAAAUUCGUUAAAUCUGAAAGAACUUCAGAAUCUGGAGCACCAGCUUGAUUCUACUCUUAAACACAUUCGAUCAAGAAAGAAACUGUUGUUGAUGAGAACAAGAUCAUUGAGUUGGAUCUUCCAAUGUCAAAAGCUUAUUUGCGUAAAGGGUGAUGGUGAGAUCAAGAUCCGUCAUUUUGUGAUCUAUUGGCUUGUGAAUAUGUCUGAUUUUCAUCAUCCUCCAAGAAGACUGUUGCAGCAUCAUAGAUUUUUCAACCACCGCAUGCAAUUCCCCAAAAUGUUUCUACAGCACCAUGUAAUUAUUAUUAUAUAAUACACGCUUCGUUCUCUCUGAUUAGUCCUAAUGUAAUUCUAAUCGUAAAAUACCAAAAAACAAAAACUGACUUUUUUCCUUGGAAUUUAUC